rnacentral:snoRNA from 1 species
AAUCCAUAGUGUGGGCACUUUCUUAGCAUCAAUUUGAAAUAUUCCCAUUCUUCGUAUAGGGAUUCACUUUCUUAUUACUUGAAAUUAGCGAUUUUUUAGCUCAGUUG